CUUCAGUAGCUUUGAGCUUUAUUGCUUCCUCAGGAGACAACUUAUCUGGAUCAGGAGGCAAUUGCUCUCUUUGCGAGCCAUUAGUUUCAUCAAACCGCACAUCUACAGUCUCAACAACCUUGUUGUGAUAGUUGUUGAAGACUCUGUAGGUGUGCGAGUCCUUUCCAUAACCGAGCAUAAAACCCUCAUGUGCCUUAGGUGCAAACUUUGAGCUAUGGUGAGGAUCUCUAAUCCAACAUUUUGCACCGAAGACUUUGAAAUAACUUACAUUGGGUUUCUU
rnacentral:lncRNA from 1 species